GACUGGAACUUCUGAGCACCAUCACCUUGUCUGCUUUGGGACUGUCAGCCCAGCAAUCAGAUGCAUCAGAACAACAAAGCACAACUGUGGUGGCCCAGGCACCUCCAGCAACAAGUAAAUUGCUUUAACAUGAAUGAUAAUGCAAUGUCAGUAUUGUAAUUAAACUUGACCCAUCUGACGUAAUUUUUAAUGCCAGAGAUUUAACAACAUUGUCAGUCAGGAUUAUUUUCAACAGGAGGCACACUUCAGCUGGCUUGAUAGUGACUUCAGUGCAGUGAGUACAGAAAGUACAGAAAGCCGUACAUCAUCUUUAGGUGCAGUGCUUACAGUGCAGCCAGCUUCACAAAGACUGUGGGUCUGGUCACCAGGGGAAAUGGACAAAGGGAGUGCUUUUUGGGGUUUUACUCCUCAG